rnacentral:rRNA from 1 species
UACGUAGGGGGCAAGCGUUGUCCGGAUUUAUUGGGCGUAAAGAGCGUGUAGGCGGCCAGACAGGUCAGCUGUGAAAACUCGAGGCUCAACCUCGAGACGUCGGUUGAAACCGUCUGGCUAGAGUCCGGAAGAGGAGAGUGGAAUUCCUGGUGUAGCGGUGAAAUGUGUUGAUAUUGGAAGGAACGCCGGUGGCGAAAGCGACACACUGGACCUUGUCUGACGCUGAGGCACGAAAGCCAGGGGAGCAAACGGG